GGUGUUACGAGCCACACCCAUGUCUAGCUAGAAUAGUGUGUUAGGCUCAGGCUAGAGAAGAAACGGGGAACAAACUGAUGAAAGAAUGAUCAUACCGAGGGAAUUCACUCAAAACUAACAAUAAUAAUAACGCGCUCCGAUUGGAGCGGUUUAGGAACUGCUGGAAGGCCCUAGGGGAAUAAAGAUGCAAUGACUUCUAAUUUUUAGGUCCUAUGAUUUUAAAUACUUGCACACAAACGACGCGAAAGUGUUCCUGGAAAUCUCAGCCCAAAAAAGGACGUUUAGUAAUUCUAAAAGGGACUAUUAGAUGAAAAACAAUAGUUUUGGCAGUUAAAGUUUGAGAUUCGACGGUGCCGUAGAUCCAUUUGGUCAUCAGGUGUUACGAGCCACACCCAUGUCUAGCUAGAAUAGUAUGUUAGGCUCAGGUUAGAGAAGAAAUGGGGAACAAACUGAUGAAAGAAUGAUCAUACCAAGGGAAUUCACUCAGAACUAACAAGAACGAUAACGUGCUCCGACUGGAGCGGUUUAGGAACUGCUGGAAGGCUCUAGGGGAAUAAAGAUGGAAUGACUUCUAAUUUUUAGGUCCGUAUGAUUUGAAAUGCUUGCACAUAAACCACGCAAAAGCGUUCCUGGAAAUCUCAGCCUAAAAAGGACGUUUAGUAAUUCUAAAAGGGACUACAGGAUGAAAAACAAAAGUUUUGGCAGUUAAAGUUUGAGAUUCGACGGUGCCGUAGAUCCGUUUGGUCAUCAGGUGUUACGAGCCACACCCAUGUCUAGCUAGAAUAGUGUAACACCCUCGAUGCAACUAUAUCUCCCACGUGUCGAGGCAGGACUUACACGCAUAAUCGCAUUGACGGCAUAUGUCGCAAAUUAGGCAAUCUUCACAACAUCCCAUGUAAUAUAGAUAAUAAAAGGGGAGAUAACAUAGUUGGCUUACACUCGCCACGUCAAUCAAGGUACAUAAAUAACAUGACAUCAUCCAAACACUCAUGGCCCGACUACGGCGCCAAAAUAAAAGAUAACCCAACAUGCGACACGGUUCCGAUCACCCCCAACUGGGCACCACUACUGAUCAUCAAGAAAGGAAACAUAGUAUCAUUGAGAGUACUCGUCGAACACCCACAUGAGCUCAAGCGCGUCACCUGGAGCUGAAUCAUCAGGCCCUGCAUCUGGUUUAAUAGUAAUCUGUGAGCCACAGGGACUCAGCAAUCUCACACCCUCGCAAUCAAGACUAUUUAAGCUUAUAGGUAAGGCAAGGUAAAUAUGUGAGCUGCAGCAAGCGACUAGCAUAUAUGGUGGCUAUCAUGUUCGAAAAAGAGGGCGAGAAGAGGAGGCUAAGCGCGAACGAAUAACUAGAGAGCAACCUGCGCAAACAUUACUCCAACACCGUGUCCACUUCCCGGACUCCACCGAGAAGAGGCCAUCACGGUAACUCACACUGUUGAUUCAUUUUAAUUAAGUUAAGGUUCAAGUUGUCUACAACCGGACAUUAACAAAUUCCCAUCUGCCCAUAACCGCGGGCACGACUUUCGAAAGUUCAAAUCCCUGCAGGGGAGUCCCAACUUAGCCCAUGACUAGCUCUCAUGGUCAACGAAGGAAUAGACCUCCUCCCGAGAUGUUCCGACCAGACUCGGUAUCUCGGUUCUUCAAGACACUUCGACAGGUUAAAACAAAUCCAGCAACACCACCCGAAUGUGCCGACAAAUCCCGAUAGGAGCUGCACAUAUCUCUUUCUCAGGGCACACUCAGAUUGUCUUAGGUACGGGUAGGCCAGCCCAGAGUUGCCCCUGGUGGCCACCGGCAGCUGACAGGUGGACCAACACUCAGAGGGGCACUAGNNNNNNNNNNNNNNNNNNNNNNNNNNNNNNNNNNNNNNNNNNNNNNNNNNNNNNNNNNNNNNNNNNNNNNNNNNNNNNNNNNNNNNNNNNNNNNNNNNNNNNNNNNNNNNNNNNNNNNNNNNNNNNNNNNNNNNNNNNNNNNNNNNNNNNNNNNNNNNNNNNNNNNNNNNNNNNNNNNNNNNNNNNNNNNNNNNNNNNNNNNNNNNNNNNNNNNNGGGGGGGGUUAAAAUAAGAUGACCCUCAGGCUCCGGAAACCCAAGGGAAAAAGAGGCUAGGUGGCAAAUGGUAAAACCAAGGUUGGGCAUUGCUGGAAAAGCUUUAAUCAAGGUGAACUAUCAAGGGGUUCCCAUUAUAACCCAACCGCGCAAGGAACGCAAAAUCCGGGAACAUAACACCGAUAUGACGGAAACUAGGGCGGCAAGAGUGGAACAAAACACUAGGAGAGAGGCCGAGCCUUCCACCCUUUACCAAGUAUAUAGAUGCAUUAAGAUAACAUGGCAAUAUAAUGAUAUCCCAACAAGUAAAUAAAUGUUCCAGCAAGGAACGGUCUCCAAUCUUCACCUGCAACUAGCAACGCUAUAAGAGGGGCUGAGCAAAGCGGUAACAUAGCCAAUCAACGGUUUGCUAGGACAUGGUGGGUUAGAGGUUUGACAUGGCAAUUUGGGAGGCUUGAAAGCAGGUGGUAGGCAUCGUAGCAUUGGCAUAGAAAAAGAGCAAGCAUCUAGCAAAGCAAAGAUAGUAGUGAUUUCGAGGGUAUGAUCAUCUUGCCUCCAAAGUUGUCAGAGUUGACUGGAUCCUCGAAAGCAAACUCAUCGGGCUCCUCGUUAGAGAACUCGUCUCCCGGCUCUACCCAAACAAGACAAACAAGCAAACGGAACACAAUCAACCACGUGCAAAGCUCAAACAAUAUGAUGCAAAGAUGAUAUGCUAUGCGGGAUGCGAUGCGGGAUGCAUAUGCAAGAUUUGACAAGGAAUGCAUGAACCUGACCUCAACUUGUGAAUCCAAGUGUGCCACUGGAAAGAUGAGAUGAAAUCUCUUGAAAACAAUAUAAAGAUCACUGGAAUCGGAGUUACGGUUUGGAAAUGGCAAGCAAAUCAAAUAUGAUCACGUUUUGCGAUUUACAGCAAGUACCCAUCUAAAUGCAAUGAGAUGAACAAGCUACAGCACCCAAACAUGGCAUAAAAAUACAUGGAAGGGAUGCAUUCCUGAUGCUUAACAAAAGUCUAGCACUGAGCUACGGCCAAUUCAUCCACUAACAGGUUCAAACAAGCAUGGCAAAAAUGCAUAUGGUAAACAUAUUUCAGACUUAGUGAAAUUAACACUUGUCUGGAAUUUCAGAUCAGGUAGCACUCUUCGGAGCAUGAAAACUAUAUGCUACAGGACCUAAACAUGGCAAAGUAAAACAUGGCAUGGAGCUACUCAAAGAUCUUAACAAAAGUCCCUUAGUGACCUUGAGCCAAAAGGGAUCAGAAAAUAUAUUUGCAAGCAUGUGAACAUGGCAAAAACAUAAUCGGAUCACAGACUUAGUGAAAACUGGAGCAUGCUGAAAACAGAUAUCAAGUAGGCAUGUUUACGAACUCGAUGCACUCACUAUAGAGCAAGUCAUGACAAUCUAAGCAUACACCCAUCAAGAAUACACAAAAUUCAAGCUAUACAUGGCAAGAACAAUAACAUAGCAUGCACGGAUCAACUACAACAUCCUCGGCAAAAUUGCUAACAAGUAGACAAUCUGCCCAGAUUCACGAAAUAGCAAAAGUAGAGCUCGAUUGACUCAAGCUAGGGUGCUCCAUAAUUGCAAACAAAGACAUGGAUGCAUAGAGCACUACAAUAUUAACAAAACAUCCUUACUUAUCAUCCUCAAAAGAGGCACGGAUCACUAGGAAACAACAUGAACAUAUAGCCAUAUGAGAUAACCAGAUCAAGGGCUUAGUGGAAUUGCUAAGUCCCUGGAAUCAGCAUUACCAAGUGCCUCACUUUGCAAGCUUGUGCUAGUCAGCACACACAUCACAAAAAUACAUGGGUUGCACCUCUGGAAAGAUGGAAAAACCCUUAACAAAACAUAUGUAGAGCUCAUGGGCAUAUCAUGCACACAAUAAUUAUGGCAAAAAUGACAAAUAUCUAAAUGGAGUAGCAGAUCUGACAAUUAUCUCAAGUAGCACUCUUCCAACAGCAUUUCGGGCAUCAAGAUGAACUCAAAUGAAAAUGAUGCAAUAAGAUGAAAUGAUGUGCUCUCUGAGACGAACAUUUUGAUAUGCUAUAUGCCCAAAACGGAGCUACGGAUGAGGAGUUACGGCAUGAUGAACAAGGGCAUAUGAAAUAGGGUUAGGGAGAAAGUCAACCGUCGUUUUGGAUCUAGAUCCAGAUCCGGAUCGCGCGCGUUUCGAGGUUUGCCGGAGAUCUGUUCGCCGGAGUAGCCGCGGGGCAUCACCGGAGGUCGGAGACAAGGAGGGAGAGGCCGGGGCGAUGUGGGCCUCUGGGGAGAGGUCGCCGGCGGGGGUUUCGGGCGGCGCGGCGCCGGUCGNNNNNNNNNNNNNNNNNNNNNNNNNNNNNNNNNNNNNNNNNNNNNNNNNNNNNNNNNNNNNNNNNNNNNNNNNNNNNNNNNNNNNNNNNNNNNNNNNNNNNNNNNNNNNNNNNNNNNNNNNNNNNNNNNNNNNNNNNNNNNNNNNNNNNNNNNNNNNNNNNNNNNNNNNNNNNNNNNNNNNNNNNNNNNNNNNNNNNNNNNNNNNNNNNNNNNNNNNNNNNNNNNNNNNNNNNNNNNNNNNNNNNNNNNNNNNNNNNNNNNNNNNNNNNNNNNNNNNNNNNNNNNNNNNNNNNNNNNNNNNNNNNNNNNNNNNNNNNNNNNNNNNNNNNNNNNNNNNNNNNGGCGGCUUGCGGACGUGAGGCGGCGGGGCGAUGUGGGCCUCGGGGGCCCCGAGCGGGCCUCGCGGGCCGGCGGCGUUGCGGCGGCAAAGUGGGCGCGCGGGCGCCACGUGGCUAGAUCUGAUAGGUCGGCGGCGGUGGGCGGACAAUGCCCGGCCAUCCGGAUUUUGUCCGGCGGCUGGAGGAGGAGGAGGGUUAGGGUUUCUCCCGAGAUUUCGAAUGGGGAAGAUAUAUAUAGGCAUAGAGGGAGCUAGGAGAUUCCAAAUGAGGUGCGGUUUUCGGCCACGCAAUCGUGAUUGAACACUCUAGAUGAUGGAGAAGGUUUAGGUGGGUUUUGGGCCAACUUGGAAGGGUGUUGGGCUGCAACACACACGAGGCCUUUAUGGUCCCUCGGUUAACCGUUGGAGUAUCAAACGAAGUCCAAAUGAUACGAAACUUAACAGGCGGUCUACCGGUAGUAAACCAAGGCCGCUUGGCAAGUCUCGGUCCAAUCCGGAAAUGUUUAAUCCCCACACACGAAAGAAAGGUAGAAAUGACCACCGGAGGAGAACGAAGCGCCUGAAUGCAAAACGGACAAUGGGGAAAAUGUUCGAAUGCAUGAGAUGAACACGUAUGCAAAUGCAAUGCACAUGAUGACAUGAUAUGAGAUGCAUGACAAUGACAACAACACACGGAGACAAAAACCCAAACCCGAGAAAAUAAAAUAACUUAAGGCCGGAAACGGCAAGAGUUGGAAUACAUAUUGGGAAAGUCAUAUCCGGGGUGUUACAACACUCCACCACUACGAAAGGAUCUCGUCCCGAGAUCUAGGACUGAAAGAACACCGGGUACUCAGAACGGAGGUGAUCCUCGCGUUCCCAGGUAGCUUCACGGUCGGAAUGGUGUGACCACUUGACUUUGAGGAAUUUGAUUGACUUGUUGCGAGUCUUGCGUUCAGUCUCUUCAAGAAUAGCAACUGGGUGCUCACAAUAAGAGAGAUCUUCUUGGAGCUCAAUGUCCUCGAAGUUGACAGUGCGGUCAGGAGUCUUGAAGCACUUUCGAAGCUGAGAGACAUGGAACACAUCAUGAACAUUUGCAAAGUUUGAAGGAAGCUCAAGUUGAUAGGCGAGAUCGCCUCUCUUGCUGACAAUCUUGAAAGGUCCCACAUAUCUAGGGGCAAGCUUCCCUUUGAUACUGAAGCGACGAGUACCUUUCAUAGGAGAGACGCGGAGGUAAACAUGAUCUCCGAUCUCGAAAGCCAAAUCACGGUGCUUACUGUCAUAGUAGCUCUUCUAGCGGGAUUGGUCUGCUUUGAGGUUAUCUCGAAUGACUUUGCACAUUUCCUCUGCCUCUAUGAUUAAGUCAUUUCCGAGAAGCUGACGUUCACCUGUUUUGGACCAGUUGAGAGGGGUACGGCACUUCCUGCCAUACAGAAUUUCAAAUGGGGCCUUGCCCGAACUUGCUUGAAAACUGUUGUUGUAGGAGAAUUCAGCAUAAGGAAGACAAUCCUCCCACUUCAUGCCGAAGGAGAUCACACAAGCCCUGAGCAUAUCUUCAAGAAUCUGGUUGACACGCUCGACUUGACCGCUAGUUUGAGGAUGGAAAGCUGUGCUGAAGCGGAUGUUGGUGCCCAUGGCCUUCUGAAAAGAAUCCCAAAACUUGGAGGUAAAGAUGCUGCCACGGUCUGAAGAGAUCACUUGUGGAAUACCGUGCAGAGAGAAAAUUCGAGAGGUAUAGACUUCCGCCAAUUGAGCUGCAGUGAUUGACUCUUUGAUAGGCAGAAAGUGAGCCACUUUAGUGAGUUUGUCGAUGACAACGAAUAUAGCAUCAUUGCCACACUUGGACUUUGGAAACCUAGUCACGAAGUCCAUUUCAAUGUGGUCAAACUUCCAUUCUGGAAUGGCAAGAGGUUGGAGGAGACCCGCUGGUCUUUGGUGUUCUGCCUUCACUCUUCUGCGGACAUCACACUCAUUCACGAACUGAGCGAUCUCGCGCUUCAUUCGAGUCCACCAGUAAGCCUGCCUGAGGUCCUGAUACAUCUUCGUACUCCCAGGGUGGAUGGAGAGGAGAGAAUUGUGAGCCUUGUUCAUGAUCACUUUACGGAGGUCACCUUUGGGCACAACAAUACGAUCCUCGAAGAAGAGAGUCUCCUUGUCAUCAAGGCGGUAGCACUUGUACUUGGGUUGACUCUUGGCAAUCACAAUCUUCACCUUUUUCACCAUAGCAUCAAGAAGCUGGGCUUGGCGAAUCUGGUCUUCCAAGGUAGGAGAUACUUGAAGGUUGGCGAGGAAACCUUGAGGAACAACUUGCAGGUUAAGUUUGCGGAAAGCUUCACAAAGCUCGGGUUGAUAAGGCUUGAGAAUUAGACUGUUGCAAUAAGCCUUUCUGCUCAAUGCGUCAGCAAUCACAUUGGCCUUGCCUGGAGUAUACUCGAUACUCGGAUUAUACUCUUGAAUCAUUUCGACCCAUCGAGUUUGCCUAAGGUUGAGAUUAGGCUGAGUGAAGAUGUACUUGAGACUCUUGUGAUCAGUGAAAAUGUCCACUUUUCUUCCCAAUAAGAGAUGUCUCCAAGUCAAAAGAGCAUGCACAACUGCCGCCAACUCGAGAUCAUGAGUGGGGUAGUUCUUCUCAUUGGGCUUCAAUUGGCGAGAGGUAUAAGCAACAACUUUCUUCUCUUGCAUCAACACUGCGCCAAGACCUUGGAGAGAGGCAUCACAAAAGACCUCGUACGGCUUGGAUUCAUCAGGCGGAGUCAGAACUGGAGCAGUGAUCAAUUUCUCUUUCAAAGUGUUGAAAGCAAUGUCACACUCCGGAGACCAAACGUACUUGACGUGCUUCUGGAGAAGAUUUGAGAGAGGCUUCGCGAUCUUAGAAAAGUUUUCAACGAAUCUUCGAUAGUAGCUUGCGAGACCGAGGAAGCUACGAAGUUGCUUCACGUUCUGAGGAGGUUCCCAAUUCACAAUUGCAGACACCUUCUCAGGAUUCAUGGCAAUGCCCUUGGCAGAGAUGAUAUGACCAAGAUAAAGAACCUCAUCGAGCCAAAAUUCGCACUUGGAGAACUUGGCGUAGAACUUGUGUUCCCUCAACUUAUCGAGUACCAAACGCAAGUGCUUGGCAUGAUCUUCCUUGUUCUUCGAGCAAACCAGAAUGUCGUCGAGAUAGACCAAAUGAAGUCAUUGGUGUAGGCAUUGAAGAUGAAGUUCAUCAUGCGAGAGAAAGUCGGAGGAGCGUUGACGAGGCCAAAAGACAUGACAGUGUAUUCAUAUGACCCAUAGCUUGUCCUGAAAGCCGUCUUGGGAAUAUCUUGCUCACAGAUUUGAAUAUGAUGAUAACCCAUACGGAGAUCAAGCUUGGAGAAUACUUGCGCACCUUUGAGUUGUUCGAACAGCUUGUUGAUGUUGGGAAGUGGGUAUUUGUUCUUGAUAGUCUUCUUGUUCAAUGGACGGUAAUCAACACAAAGCCGAUCCGUUCCAUCCUUCUUCUUCACAAAAAGAACACCACAACCCCACGGAGAAGAACUAGGCUGGAUGAGACCCAUUCUCUCUUGAAUAUCGAGUUGCUUCUUCAGCUCCUUCAACUCUUCAGGUCCGAGCUUGUAAGGACGCUUGCACACUGGUUCCGUGCCAGGAUCAAGAUCGAUGACGAAUUUAACUGGCCGAUGCGGAGGCAUUCCUAGAAGCUCUUUUGGAAAGACGUCUUGAUAUUCGCAAACGACUGGAAUUUGCGAGAUAGCAUCCAGUUCACCCUUCUCAUUGAGAGAAAACAGACGGAUGGUAUCAUCACAAGCGGCAAAGACAAUUACAUCCUCAGACGAAUGAGUCAAUUGAAUCUGCCUGGCUGCACAAUCAAGCUGAGCCUUGUGCUUAGAAAGCCAAUCCAUUCCGAGAAUAAGAUCAAUAUCCGAGUCCCCAAGAACUGUAGGAGAAGAUAGAAAUUUGUAGUCUCCCAAAGUGAUAGUAACAUCUGGAGCAAUGGAGUUAGCAUGCAUGCGCCUACCGGGAGAGACAACUACUAAUGGACUAGGCAAAAUUUGCAAAGCCAACCCAUGCUUAGAUGAAAACGGUCUCGAUAUGAAAUAAUGCGAUGCACCCGUGUCAAAAAGAACUUUUGCAGGAAUAUCGUUAAUAGGAAGGUUACCCAUGAUGACAUCUGACGAGUCUGCAUUCAUCAAGUUGACCUUGGCGUGCUUGGGGUUAUGCUUGACCACAGGUGUACUUGCCCUCACAGGAGGAGGAGGAGGAGGAAGACGCCUCUGGUUGAAACACUUGUUGGCAUAGUGACCCUUCUAUUGGCACUUGUUGCACGUGACCUCUGAAAGUGGACGGUGAUACGGAGCACUCGAUCUUGGAGCUUGAGACGAAGUCUUGUUCUGAAAGCCAGGGUUGGGUGGGUGGGAAGAUCCACUGCCACCUUUGCUCUUCUGCUGAUACGGCUGACGGAACGGAGGAGGAGGAAGCCAAUACUUCUGCUGCUUGGCCACUUGAGUAGAGGAAGAAGGAGUAACAUCUCUAACUCGCUUCUUGGAAGCAUCACACCUCAGUUGAGCGGCAUCUUGCUUCAAUGCCAUGUUGUAGAACUCAUCGUACCUCAAGGGCUCAAAGAGAACAAGAGCUAGCUGAAUUUCCUCUCUGAGACCACCCCUGAACUGGUAUAUCAUGCUCUUCUCAUCAGGGACGUCCUGCUUGGCAAAGCGGGCGAGCUUCUGAAACAGCUUGUUGUAGUCAUAGACUGACAAAGAGCCUUGCUUCAGGUUGUGGAAUUCCUCACGCUUGCUUUCAACCACGCUCUGAGAAAUAUGAUGAGCUCUGAAAUCUUGACGGAAUUCAUCCCAGGUAAUAACACAUCCACCUCUGGAAUCCUUGUACUGCUGGAACCAUUCUGCAGCUUGAUCUUUGAGUUGGAAGGAAGCAAACUUGACGAAGUCCUCAGGCCCGACGUUACUGCACUUGAAAUGCUUGCACAGAUCCACGAGCCAAUCGUCAGCAUCGGUUGCCUCAACACAAUUGUUGAAAGUCUUUGGCCCAUUAGCAAGGAACUGGUUGAGAGUGGCAAAGUGAUUCUGAUUGUUGCCUUGGUUCCCUUGGUUGCCUUGAUUGCACUCUUGAAGAAUUUGCAUGAUCAACUGUGUGUUUGCAUUGGUUGCGGCCAUCACAGCUUGCCAUGCCUCCGGAGGAGGGGGAGGUGGUGGCGGAUCUUGAUUCUGAUUCUGAUUGGUGCUCUUAGCGGGAGCCAUCCUGAAGAGGUUGACCACCGUUAGCACAUAGAUAGAUAAAAUGAAGCUGAAUCCAAUGGAAUGAAAAUUGCAACAUAAAGUCUUCACAUCCGAACAGAAUGAACGAAUGCAUUCCUCUUGAAAUGGUCACAUAUCCAUAAAUUGACAAGCCACUUAGAAUUUAUGUAGAGAAAUAAAUCAACAAGGUAUGGAUCAAGAACGAAUACUCGGUAAGAAAUCCCAAUCUCAAACCAAAUAUCCGUGGAAGAAGAGCUAGAGCUACUUGAAUUCCCACCUAUGAAACUCCCGAACCUUUCCGGUUAUGCAAUCAGGUGUUGGGGAUACAGGGGAAGCAUAAUAUCUCACCCAAAUCUAGCAAAUCAUACAUCCAGCUGUAUCCAUCCUUCAACACAUAACCGAGAAAACUUCGGAAACCAUCUACCUCAACCUUCGAAAAGCAUCCGUUAUACAAGUUAUGGCGAUACUCCCGAACUCCCGCCCCAUUACGGGGUGGCGUCGAGGUUAUCUCACCAACGAACUACAUAAAAGAGAUUUUCGAUGUCGGCGUACUAAACUCAGGUAUUCCAGAACUGCAACGAUAAAAUUAUGACGACAACACCUCAGAGCUCAACUCCCCGGGACACUUCCACAAAACCCCUGACAGGAGGCACCAAGACAAUGUUCUCGUCAUAAAACCAUCGGAACGAUUCCAAGAUACCCGUGUGAUCCUAAAAAAAAUUAGUGAAAUUUGAGAAAAGAAGAGUCAAAACUCUACGUCAGGAUGCUUUACCAGAGCGAUGAGGAGACUGGGAAGUAAAAAAGAAUUCCUAAACUCUCCGAUAUAUAAUUCCUAAAUGACUCAAAACAUUUUUCUAGACACAACUCAGCCGCUAAUAAUGAUCAAGCAAUGGGGCUCCUAAGGUCGGGGAAGGCUCUAAUUACCAACUUGUAACACCCUCGAUGCGACUAUAUCUCCCACGUGUCGAGGCACGACUUAGAGGCAUAAUCGCAUUAAAGGCAUAUGUCGCAAAUUAGGCAAUCUUCACAACAUCCCAUGUAGUAUAGAUAAUAAAAGGGGAGAUAACAUAGUUGGCUUACACUCGCCACGUCAAUCAAGGUACAUAAAUAACAUUACAUCAUCCAAACACUCAUGGCCCGACUACGGCACCAAAAUAAAAGAUAACCCAACAUGCGACACGGUCCCGAUCGCCCCCAACUGGGCACCACUACUGAUCAUCAGGAAAGGAAACAUAGUAUUGUUGAGAGUGUUGGAGAACGUAGUAAUUUCAAAAAAAUUCCUAUGCACAUGCAAGAUCAUGGUGAUGCAUAGCAACGAGAGGGGAGAGUGUGAUCUACGUAUUUGUAGACCGACAGCGGAAGCGUUAGCACAACGCGGUUGAUGUAGUCGUACGUCUUCACGGCCCGACCGAUCAAGCACCGAAACUAUGGCACCUCCGAGUUUUAGCAUACGUUUAGCUCGAUGACGAUCCCCGGACUCCGAUCCAGCAAAGUGUCGGGGAAGAGUUCCGUCAGCACGACGGCGUGGUGACGAUCUUGAUGUACUAUCGUCGCAGGGCUUCGCCUAAGCACCGCUACAAUAUUGUCGAGGAUUAUGGUGGAAGGGGGCACCGCACACGGCUAAGAAUAUGAUCACGUGGAUCAACUUGUGUGUCUAGGGGUGCCCCCUGCCCCCGUAUAUAAAGGAUCAAGGGGAGGAGGCCGGCCGGCCCCUAUGGCGCGCCAAGGAGGAGUCCUCCUCCUAGUAGGAGUAGGACUCCUACUAGGAGGGGGAAAGAAGUGGGGAGGGAGAAGGAAAGGGGGGCGCCGCCCCCCCCUCUCCUAGUCCAAUUUGGACCAGGGGGGAGGAGGCGCGCGGCCCACCUUUGGCUGCCCCUUUCCCUCUCCACUAAGGCCCAUAUGGCCCAUUACUUCUCCCGGGGGGGUUCCGGUAACCCUCCGGCUCUCCGGUUUUCUCCGAAAUCACCCGGAACACUUCCGGUGUCCGAAUGUAGCCGUCCAAUAUAUCAAUCUUUAUGUCUCGACCAUUUAGAGACUCCUCGUCAUGUUCGUGAUCACAUCCGGGACUCCGAACUAACUUCGGUACAUCAAAACUCAUAAACUCAUAAUAUAACUGUCAUUGAAACCUUAAGCGUGCGGACCCUACGGGUUCGAGAACAAUGUAGACAUGACCGAGACACGUAUCCGGUCAAUAACCAAUAGCGGAACCUAGAUGCUCAUAUUGGCUCCUACAUAUUCUACGAAGAUCUUUAUCGGUCAGACUGCAUAACAACAUACGUUGUUCCCUUUGUCAUCGGUAUGUUACUUGCCCGAGAUUCGAUCGUCGGUAUCUCAAUACCUAGUUCAAUCUUGUUACCGGCAAGUCUCUUUACUCGUUUCGUAAUACAUCAUCUCGCAACUAACUCAUUAGUUGCAAUGCUUGCAAGGCUUAAGUGAUGUGCAUUACCGAGAGGGCCCAGAGAUACCUCUCCGACAAUCGGAGUGACAAAUCCUAAUCUCGAAAUAUGCCAACCCAACAUGUACCUUUGGAGACACCUGUAGAGUACCUUUAUAAUCACCCAUUUAUGUUGUGACGUUUGGUAGCACACAAAGUGUUGCUCCGGCAAACGGGAGUUGCAUAAUCUCAUAGUCAUAGGAACAUGUAUAAGUCAUGAAGAAAGCAAUAACAACAUACUAAACGAUCGGGUGCUUAGCUAAUGGAAUGGGUAAUGUCAAUCAGAUCAUUCACCUAAUGAUGUGAUCCCGUUAAUCAAAUAACAACUCUUUGUUCAUGGUUAGGAAACAUAACCAUCUUUGAUUAACGAGCUAGUCAAGUAGAGGCAUACUAGUGACACUCCGUUUGUCUAUGUAUUCACACAUGUAUUAUGUUUCCGGUUAAUACAAUUCUAGCAUGAAUAAUAAACAUUUAUCAUGAUAUAAGGAAAUAAAUAAUAACUUUAUUAUUGCCUCUAGGGCAUAUUUCCUUCAGAGAGUCCUCGUCGAACUCCCACUUGAGCUCAAGCGCGUCACCUGGAGUGGAAUCAUCAGGCCCUGCAUCUGGUUUAAUAGUAAUCUGUGAGCCAGAGGGACUCAGCAAUCUCGCACCCUCGCGAUCAAGACUAUUUAAGCUUAUAGGUAAGGCAAGGUAAAUAUGUGGAGCUGCAGCAAGCGACUAGCAUAUAUGGUGGCUAUCCUGUUCGCAAAAGAGGGCGAGAAGAGAAGGCUAAGCGCGAAUGAAUAACUAGAGAGCAACCUGCGCAAACAUUACUCCAACACCGUGUCCACUUCCCGGACUCCGCCGAGAAGAGGCCAUCACGGUAACUCACACUGUUGAUUCAUUUUAAUUAAGUUAAGGUUCAAGUUGUCUACAACCGGACAUUAACAAAUUCCCAUCUGCCCAUAACCACGGGCACGGCUUUCGAAAGUUCAAAUCCCUGCAGGGGAGUCCCAACUUAGCCCAUGAUAAGCUCUCACGGUCAACGAAGGAAUAGACCUCCUCCCGAGACGUUCCGAUCAGACUCGGUAUCUCGGUUCUUCAAGACACUUCGACAGGUUAAAACAAAUCCAGCAACACCGUCCGAAUGUGCCGACAAAUCCCGAUAGGAGCUGCACAUAUCUCUUUCUCAGGGCACACUCAGAUUGUCUUAGGUACGGGUAGGCCAGCCCAGAGUUGCCCCUGGUGGCCACCGGCAGCUGACAGGUGGACCAACACUCAGAGGAGCACUGGCCCGGGGGGGUUUAAAAUAAGAUGACCCUCGGGCUUCGGAAACCCAAGGGAAAAAGAGGCUAGGUGGAAAAUGGUAAAACCAAGGUUGGGCAUUGCUGGAAAAUCUUUAAUCAAGGCGAACUAUCAAGGGGUUCCCAUUAUAACCCAACCGCGUAAGGAACGCAAAAUCCGGGAACAUAACACCGAUAUGAUGGAAACUAGGGCGGCAAGAGUGGAACAAAACACUAGGCGAGAGGCCGAGCCUUCCACCCUUUACCAAGUAUAUAGAUGCAUUAAGAUAACAUGCCAAUAUAAUGAUAUCCCAACAAGUAAAUAAAUGUUCCAACAAGGAACGGUCUCCAAUCUUCACCUGCAACUAGCAACGCUAUAAGAGGGGUUGAGCAAAGCGGUAACAUAGCCAAUCAACAGUUUGCUAGGACAUGGUGGGUUAGAGGUUUGACAUGGCAAUUUGGGAGGCUUGAAAGCAAGUGGUAGGCAUCGUUGCAUUGGCAUAGCAAAAGAGCGAGCAUCUAGCAAAGCAAAGAUAGUAGUGAUUUUGAGGGUAUGAUCAUCUUGCCUGCAAAGUUGUCAAAGUUGACUGGAUCCUCGAAAGCAAACUCAACGGGCUCCUCGUUAGCGACCUCGUCUCCCGGCUCUACCCAAACAAGACAAACAAGCAAACAGAACACAAUCAACCACGUGCAAAGCUCAAACAAUAUGAUGCAAAGAUGAUAUGCUAUGCGGGAUGCAUAUGCAAGAUUUGAUAAGGAAUUCACGAACCUGGCCUCAACUUGGGAAUCCAAGUGUGCCACUGGAAAGAUGAGAUGAAAUCGCUUGAAAACGAUAUAAAGAUCACCGGAAUCGGGGUUACGGUUUGGAAAUGGCAAGCAAAUCAAAUAUGAUCACGUUCUGCGAUUUACAGCAAGUAGCCAUCUAAAUGCAAUGAGAUGAACAAGCUACAGCACCCAAACAUGGCAUAAAAAUACAUGGCAGGGAUGCAUUCCUGAUUCUUAACAAAAGUCUAGCACUGAGCUACGGCCAAUUCAUCUAUUAACAGGUUCAAACAAGCAUGGCAAAAAUGCAUAUGGUAAACAGAUUUCAGACUUAGUGAAAUUAACACUUGUCUGGAAUUUCAGAUCAGGUAGCACUCUUCGGAGCAUGAAAACUAUAUGCUACAGGACCUGAACAUGGCAAAGUAAAACAUGGCAUGGAGCUACUCAAAGCGCUUAACAAAAGUCCCUUAGUGAACUGGAGCCAAAAGGGAUCAGAAAAUACAUUUGCAAGCAUGUGAACAUGGCAAAAACAUAAUCAGAUCAUAGACUUAGUGAAAACUGGAGCAUGCUGAAAACAGAUAUCAAGUAGGCAUGUUUAUGAGCUCGAUGCACUCACUACAUAGCAAGUCAUGACAAUCUAUGAAUACACCCAUCAAGAAUACACAAAAUGCAAGCUAGACAUGGCAAGAACAAUAACAUAGCAUGCACGGAUCAACUAAAACAUCCUCGGCAAAAUUGCUAACAAGUAGACAAUCUGCCCAGAUUCACGAAAUAGCAAAAGUAGAGCUCGGUUGACUCAAGCUAGGGUGCUCCAUAAUUGCAAACAAAGACAUGGAUGGAUAGAGAACUACAAGAUUAACAAAACAUCCUUACUUAUCAUCCUCAAAAGAGGCACGGAUCACUAGGAAACAACAUGAACAUAUGGCCAUAUGAGAUAACCAGAUCAAGGACUUAGUGGAAUUGCAAAGUCCUUGAAAUCAGCAUUACCAAGUGCCUCACUUUGCAAGCUUGUGCUAGUCAGCACACACAUCACAAAAAUACAUGGGUUGCACCUCUGGAAAGAUGGCAAAACCCUUAACAAAACAUAUGUAGAGCUCAUGGGCAUAUCAUGCACACAAUAAUCAUGGCAAAAAUGACAAAUAUCUAAAUGGAGUAGCAGAUCUGACAAUUAUCUCAAGUAGCACUCUUCCAACAGCAUUUAGGGCAUUAAGAUGAACUCAAAUUAAAAUGAUGCAAUGCGACGAAAUGAUGUGCUCUCUGAGGCGAACAUUUUGAUAUGCUAUAUGCCCAAAACGGAGCUACGGAUGAGGAGUUACGGCACGAUAAACAAGGGCAUAUGAACUAGGGUUAGGGAGAAAGUCAACCGUCGUUUUGGAUCUAGAUCCAGAUCCGGAUCGCGCGUGUUUCGAGGUUCGCCGAAGACCUGUUCGCCGGAGUAGCCGCGGGGCGUCGCUGGAGGUCGGAGACGAGGAGGGAGAGGCCGGGGCGAUGUGGGCCUCGGGGGAGAGGUCGCCGGCGGGUGUACCGCGCGGCGCCGCGCCUGUCGGGAGGCGGCGGGGUCGGUCCGGCGGGCUCGCAGCCNNNNNNNNNNNNNNNNNNNNNNNNNNNNNNNNNNNNNNNNNNNNNNNNNNNNNNNNNNNNNNNNNNNNNNNNNNNNNNNNNNNNNNNNNNNNNNNNNNNNNNNNNNNNNNNNNNNNNNNNNNNNNNNNNNNNNNNNNNNNNNNNNNNNNNNNNNNNNNNNNNNNNNNNNNNNNNNNNNNNNNNNNNNNNNNNNNNNNNNNNNNNNNNNNNNNNNNNNNNNNNNNNNNNNNNNNNNNNNNNNNNNNNNNNNNNNNNNNNNNNNNNNNNNNNNNNNNNNNNNNNNNNNNNNNNNNNNNNNNNNNNNNNNNNNNNNNNNNNNNNNNNNNNNNNNNNNNNNNNNNNNNNNNNNNNNNNNNNNNNNNNNNNNNNNNNNNNNNNNNNNNNNNNNNNNNNNNNNNNNNNNNNNNNNNNNNNNNNNNNNNNGGGCGCGGCGCCGAUGGCCUCGGGCGGCCGGACGCGAGGAGGGUGGUGGCGGCUUGCGAACAUGAGGCGGCGGGGCGAUGUGGGCCUCGGGGGCCCCGAGCGCUGCGGCGGCGAAGUGGGCGCGUGGGCGCCACGUGGCAAGAUCUGGUAGGUCGGCGGCGGUGGGCGGACAAUGUCCGGCCGUCCGGAUUUUGUCCGGCGGCUGGAGGAGGAGGAGGGUUAGGGUUUCUCCUGAGAUUUCAAUGGGGAAGAUAUAUAUAGGCAUAGAGGGAGCUAGGAGAGUCCAAAUGAGGUGCGGUUUUCGGCCACGCGAUCGUGAUCGAACUCUCUAGAUGAUGGAGAAGGUUUAGGUGGGUUUUGGGCCAACUUGGAAGGGUGUUGGGCUGCAACACACACGAGGCCUUUACGGUCCCUCGGUUAACCGUUGGAGUAUCAAACAAAGUCCAAAUGAUACGAAACUUGACAGGCGGUCUACCGGUAGUAAACCAAGGCCGCUUGGCAAGUCUCGGUCUAAUCCGGAAAUGUUUAAUCCCCACACACGAAAGAAAGGUAGAAAUGACCACCGGAGGAGAACGAAGCGCCGGAAUGCAAAACGGACAACGGGGAAAAUGCUCGAAUGCAUGAGAUGAACAUGUAUGCAAAUGCAAUGCACAUGAUGACAUGAUAUGAGAUGCAUGACAACGACAAAAACACACGGAGACAAAAACCCAAACCCGAGGAAAUAAAAUAACAUAAGGCCAGAAAUAGCAAGAGUUGGAAUACAUAGUGGGAAAGUCAUAUCCGGGGUGUUACAAAUAAUGUGUUAGGCUCAGGCUAGAGAAGAAAUAGGGAACAAACUUAUGAAAGAAUGAUCAUACCGAGGGAAUUCACUCAGAACUAACAAGAAUGAUCACGUGCUCCGACUGGAGCGCUUAGGAACUGCUGGAAGGAUCUAGGGGAAUAAAGAUGGAAUGACUUCAAAUUUUUAGGCCCAUAUGAUUUGAAAUACUUGCACACAAACCGCGAGAAAGCGUUCCUGGAAAUCUCAGCCCAAAAAAGGAUGUUUAGUAAUUCUAAAAGGGACUACAGGAUGAAAAACAAUAGUUUUGGCAGUUAAAGUUUGAGAUUUGACGGUGUCGUAGAUCCGUUUGGUCAUCAGGUGUUACGAGCCACACCCAUGUCUAGCUAGAAUAGUGUGUUAGGCUCAGGCUAGAGAAGAAACGGGGAACAAACUGAUGAAAGAAUGAUCAAACCGAGGGGAUUCACUCAGAACUAACAAGAAUGAUAACGUGCUCCGACUAGAGCGGUUUAGGAACUUCUGGAAGGCUCUAGGGGAAUAAAGAUGGAAUGACUUCUAAUUUUUAGGUCCGUAUGAUUUGAAAUACUUUCACACAAACCGCGCGAAAGCGUUCCUGGAAAUCUCAGCCCCAAAAAGGACGUUUAGUAAUUCUAGAAGGGACUAUAGGAUGAAAAACAAUAGUUUUGGUAGUUAAAGUUUGAGAUUCGAUGGUGCCGUGGAUCCGUUUGGUCAUCAGGUGUUACGAGCCACACCCAUGUCUAGCUAGAAUAGUAUGUUAGGCUCAGGUUAGAGAAGAAACGGGGAACAAACUGAUGAAAAAAUGAUCAUACCAAGGGAAUUCACUCAGAACUAACAAGAAUGAUAACGUGCUCCGACUGGAGCGGUUUAGGAACUGCUGGAAGGCUCUAGGGGAAUAAAGAUGGAAUGACUUCUAAUUUUUACGUCCGUAUGAUUUGAAAUACUUGCACACAAACCACGCAAAAGCGUUCCUGGAAAUCUCAGCCUAAAAAAGGACGUUUAGUAAUUCUAAAAGGGACUACAGGAUGAAAAAUAAUAGUUUGGGCAGUUAAAAUUUGAGAUUCAACGGUGCCGUAGAUCCGUUUGGUCAUGAGGUGUUACGAGCCACACCCAUGUCUAGCUAGAAUAGUGUGUUAGGCUCAGGCUAGAGAAGAAACGGGGAACAAAUUGAUGAAAGAAUGAUCAUACCGAGGGAAUUCACUCAGAACUAACAAGAAUGAUAACGUGCUCCGACUGGAGCAGUUUGGAAACUGUUGGUAGGCUCUAGGGGAAUAAAGAUGGAAUCACUUCAAAUUUUUAGGUCCGUAUGAUUUGAAAUACUGGCACACAAACCGCGCGAAAGUGUUCCUGGAAAUCUCAGCCCAAAAAAGGACGUUUAGUAAUUCUAAAAGGGACUACAGGAUGAAAAACAAUACUUUUGGCAGUUAAAGUUUGAGAUUCGACGGUGCCGUAGAUCUGUUUGGUCAUCAGGUGUAACGAGCCACACCCAUGUCUAGCUAGAGUAGUGUGCUAGGCUCAGACUAGAGAAGAAACGGGGAACAAAGUGAUGAAAGAAUGAUCAUACCGAGGGAAUUCACUCAGAACUAACAAGAAUGAUAACGUGCUCCGACUGGAGCGGUUUAGGAACUGCUGGAAGGCUCUAGGGAAAUAAAGAUGGAAUGACUUCUAAUUUUUAGGUCCAUAUCAUUUGAAAUACGUGCACACAAACCCCGAGAAAGCGUUCCUGGAAAUCUCGGCCGAAAAAAGGAUGUUUAAUAAUUCUAAAAGGGACUACAGGAUGAAAAACAAUAGUUUUGGCAGUUAAAGUUUGAGAUUUGACGGUGCCGUAGAUCUGUUUGGUCAUCAGGGGUUACGAGCCACACCCAUGUCUAGCUAGAAUAGUGUGUUAGGCUCAGGCUAGAGAAGAAACGGGGAACAAAUUGAUGAAAGAAUGAUCAUACCGAGGGAAUUCACUCAGAACUAACAAGAAUGAUAACGUGCUCCGACUGGAGCAGUUUGGAAACUGUUGGUAGGCUCUAGGGGAAUAAAGAUGGAAUCACUUCUAAUUUUUAGGUCCGUAUGAUUUGAAAUACAUGCACACAAACCCCAAGAAAGCGUUCCUGGAAAUCUCGCCCCGAAAAACGACGUUUAGUAAUUCUAAAAGGGACUACAGGAUGAAAAACAAUACUUUUGGCAGUUAAAGUUUGAGAUUCGACGGUGCCGUAGAUCUGUUUGGUCAUCAGGUGUAACGAGCCACACCCAUGUCUAGCUAGAGUAGUGUGCUAGGCUCAGACUAGAGAAGAAACGGGGAACAAAGUGAUGAAAGAAUGAUCAUACCGAGGGAAUUCACUCAGAACUAACAAGAAUGAUAACAUGCUCCGACUGGAGCGGUUUAGGAAGUGCUGGAAGGCUCUAGGGAAAUAAAGAUGGAAUGACUUCUAAUUUUUAGGUCCAUAUCAUUUGAAAUACGUGCACACAAACCCCGAGAAAGCGUUCCUGGAAAUCUCGGCCGAAAAAAGGAUGUUUAAUAAUUCUAAAAGGGACUACAGGAUGAAAAACAAUAGUUUUGGCAGUUAAAGUUUGUGAUUCGAUGGUGCCGUAGAUCUGUUUGGUCAUCAGGUGUUACGAGCCACACCCAUGUCUAGCUAGAACAGUGUGUUAGGCUCAGGCUAGAGCAGAAACGGGGAACAAACUUAUGAAAGAAUGAUCAUACCGAGGGAAUUCACUCAGAACUAACAAGAAUGAUAACGUGCUCCAACUGGAGCGGUUUAGGAACUGCUGGAAGGCUCUAGGGGAAUAAAGAUGGAAUGACUUCAAAUUUUUAGGUCCGUAUGAUUUGAAAUACUUGCACACAAACCGCUAGAAAGCGUUCCUGGAAAUCUCAGCCCAAAAAAGGACGUUUAGUAAUUCUAAAAGGGACUACAGGAUGAAAAACAAUAGUUCUGGCAGUUAAAGUUUGAGCUUCGAUAAUGUCGUAGAUCCGUUUGGUCAUCAGGUGUAACGAGCCACACCCAUUUCUAGCUAGAGUAGUGUGCUAGGCUCAGACUAGAGAAGAAAUGGGCAACAAACUAAUGAAAGAAUGAUCAUACCGAGGGAAUUCACUCAGAACUAACAAGAAUGAUAACGUGCUCCGACUGGAGCGGUUUAGGAACUGCUGGAAGGCUCUAGGGGAAUAAAGAAGGAAUGACUUCUAAUUUUUAGGUCCGUAUGAUUUGAAAUGUGUGCACACAAACCCCGAGAAAGCAUUCCUGGAAAUCUCGGCCCAAAAAAGGACGUUUAGUAAUUCUAAAAGGGACUACAGGAUGAAAAACAAUAGUUUUGGCAGUUAAAGUUUGAGAUUCGAUAAUGCCGUAGAUCCGUUUGGUCAUCAGGUGUAACGAGCCACACCCAUGUCUGGUUAGAGUAGUGUGCUAGGCUCAGACUAGAUAAGAAACGGGGAACAAACUGAUGAAAGAAUGAUCAUACCGAGCGAAUUCACUCAGAACUAACAAGAAUGAUAACAUGCUCCGACUGGAGCGGUUUAGGAACUGCUGGAAGGCUCUAGGGGAAUAAAGAUGGAAUGACUUCUAAUUUUUAGGUCCGUAUGAUUUGAAAUACUUGCACACAAACCACGCGAAAGCGUUCCUGGAAAUCUCAGCCCAAAAAAGGACGUUUAGUAAUUCUAAAAGGGACUACAGGAUGAAAAACAAUAGUUUUGGCAGUUAAAGUUUGAGAUUCGACAGUGCCGUAGAUCCGUUUGGUCAUCAGGUAUUACGAGCCACACCCAUGUCUAGCUAGAAUAGUGUGCUAGGCUCAGGCUAGAGAAGAAACGGGGAACAAACUGAUGAAAGAAUGAUCAAACCGAGGGAAUUCACUCAGAACUAACAAUAAUGAUAACGUGCUCCGACUGGUGCGGUUUAGGAACUGCUGGAAGGCUCUAGGGGAAUAAAGAUGGAAUGACUUCUAAUUUUUAGGUCCGUAUGAUUUGAAAUACUUGCACACAAACCGCGCGAAAGCGUUCCUGGAAAUCUCAGCCCAAAAAAGGACGUUUAGUAAUUUUAAAAGGGACUAUAGGAUGAAAAACAAUAGUUUUGGCAAUUAAAGUUUGAGAUUCGACGGUGUCGUAGAUCCGUUUGGUCAUCAGGUGUUACGAGCCACACCCAUGUCUAGCUAGAAUAGUAUGUCAGGCUCAGGUUAGAGUAGAAACGGGGAACAAACUGAUGAAAGAAUGAUCAUACCAAGGGAAUUCACUCAGAACUAUCAAGAAUGAUAACGUGCUCCGACUGGAGUGAUUUAGGAACUGCUGGAAGGCUCUAGGGGAAUAAAGAUGGAAUGACUUCUAAUUUUUACGUCCGUAUGAUUUGAAAUACUUGCACACAAAUCACGCAAAAGCGUUCCUGGAAAUCUCAGCCUAAAAAAGGACGUUUAGUAAUUCUAAAAGGGACUACAGGAUGAAAAACAAUAGUUUGGGCAGUUAAAAUUUGAGAUUCGACGGUGCCGUAGAUCCGUUUGGUCAUCAGGUGUUACGAGCGACACCCUUGUCUAGCUAGAAUAGUGUGUUAGGCUCAGACUAGAGAAGAAACGGGGAACAAAGUGAUGAAAGAAUGAUCAUACCGAGGGAAUUCACUCAGAACUAACAAGAAUGAUAACGUGCUCCGACUGGAGCGGUUUAGUAACUGCUGGAAGGCUCUAGGGGAAUGAAGAUGGAAUGACUUCUAAUUUUUAGGUCCGUAUGAUUUGAAAUACAUGCACACAAACCCUGAGAAAGCGUUCCUGGAAAUCUCGGUCGAAAAAAGGAUGUUUAAUAAUUCUAAAAGGGACUACCGGAUGAAAAACAAUAGUUUUGGCAGUUAAAGUUUGUGAUUCGAUGGUGCCGUAGAUCUGUUUGGUCAUCAGGUGUUACGAGCCACACCCAUGUCUAUCUAGAAUAGUGUGUUAGGCUCAGGCUAGAGCAGAAACGGGGAACAGACUUAUGAAAGAAUGAUCAUACCGAGGGAAUUCACUCAGAACUAACAAGAAUGAUAACGUGCUCCGACUGGCGCGGUUUAGGAACUGCUGGAAGGCUCUAGGGGAAUAAAGAUGGAAAGACUUCUAAUUUUUAGGUCCGUAUGAUUUGAAAUACUUGCACACAAACCGCACGAAAGCGUUCCUGGAAAUCUCAGCCUAAAAAGGAUGUUUAGUAAUUCUAAAAGGGACUACAAGAUGAAAAAUAAUAGUUUGGGCAGUUAAAAUUUGAGAUUCGACGAUGCCGUAGAUCCGUUUGGUCAUCAGGUGUUAUGAGCCACACCCAUGUCUAGCUAGAAUAGUGUGUUAGGCUCAGGCUAGAGAAGAAACGGGGAACAAACUGAUGAAAGAAUGAUCAUACCGAGGGAAUUCACUCAGAACUAACAAGAAUGAUAACGUGCUCCGACUGGAGCAGUUUAGAAACUGCUGGAAGGCUCUAAUGGAAUAAAGAUGGAAUGCCUUCAAAUUUCUAGGUCCGUAUGAUUUGAAAUACUUGCACACAAACCGCUCGAAAGCGUUCCUGGAAAUCUCAGCCCAAAAAAGGACGUUUAGUAAUUCUAAAAGGGACUACAGGAUGAAAAACAAUAGUUUUGGCAGUUAAAGUUUGAGAUUCGAUGGUGCCGUAGAUCCGUUUGGUCAUCAGGUGUAACGAGCCACACACAUGUCUAGCUAGAGUAGUGUGCUAGGCUCAGACUAGAGAAGAAACGGGGAACAAAGUGAUGAAAGAAUGAUCAUACCGAGGGAAUUCACUCAGAACUUACAAGAAUGAUAACGUGCUCCGACUGGAGCGCUUUAGUAACUGCUGGAAGGCUCUAGGCGAAUAAAGAUGGAAUGACUUCUAAUUUUUAGGUCCGUAUGAUUUGAAAUACUUGCACACAAACCACGCAAAACCGUUCCUAGAAAUCUCGGUCGAAAAAAGGACGUUUAGUAAUUCUAAAAGGGACUACAGGAUGAAAAACAAUAGUUUUGGCAGUUAAAGUUUGAGAUUCGAUGGUGCCGUAGAUCCGUUUGGUCAUCAGGUGUUACGAGCCACACCCAUGUCUAGCUAGAGUAGUGUGCUAGGUUCAGACUAGAGAAGAAACGGGGAACAAAGUGAUUAAAGAAUGAUCAUACCGAGGGAAUUCACUCAGAACUAACAAGAAUGAUAACGUGCUCCGACUGGAGCGGUUUAGGAACUGCUGGAAGGCUCUAGGGGAAUAAAGAUGGAAUGACUUCUAAUUUUUACGUCCGUAUGAUUUGAAAUACAUGCACACAAACCACGCAAAAGCGUUCCUGGAAAUCUCAGCCUAAAAAAGGACGUUUAGUAAUUCUAAAAGGGACUACAGGAUGAAAAAUAAUAGUUUGGGCAGUUAAAAUUUGAGAUUCGACGCUGCCGUAGAUCCGUUUGGUCAUCAGGUCUUACGAGCCACACCCAUGUCUAGCUAGAAUAGUGUGUUAGGCUCAGGCUAGAGAAGAAACGGGGAACAAACUGAUGAAAGAAUGAUCAUACCGAGGGAAUUCACUCAGAACUAACAAGAAUGAUAACGUGCUCCGACUGGAGCAGUUUAGAAACUCCUGGAAGGCUCUAGGGGAAUAAAGAUGGAAUGACUUCAAAGUUUUAGGUCCGUAUGAUUUGAAAUACUUGCACACAAACCGCGUGAAAGCGUUCCUGGAAAUCUCAACCCAAAAAAGGGCGUUUAGUAAUUCUAAAAGGGACUACAGGAUGUAAAACAAUAGUUUUGGCAGUUAAAGUUUGAGAUUCGAUGGUGCCGUAGAUCCGUUUGGUCAUCAGGUGUAACGAGCCACACCCAUGUCUAGCUAGAGUAGUGUGCUAGGCUCAGACUAGAGAAGAAACGGGGAACAAAGUGAUGAAAGAAUGAUCAUACCGAGGGAAUUCACUCAUAACUAACAAGAAUGAUAACGUGCUCUGACUUGAGCGGUUUAGGAACUGCUGGAAGGCUAUAGGGGAAUAAAGAUGGAAUGACUUCAAAUUUUUAGGUCCGUAUGAUCUGAAAUACUUGCACACAAACCGCGAGAAAGCGUUCCUGGAAAUCUCAACCCAAAAAAGGACGUUUAGUAAUUCUAAAAGGGACUACAGGAUGAAAAACAAUAGUUCUGGCAGUUAUUGUUUGAGAUUCGAUAAUCUCGUAGAUCCGUUUGGUCAUCAGGUGUAACGAGCCACACCCAUGUCUAGCUAGAGUAGUGUGCUAGGCUCAGACUAGAGAAGAAACGGGGAACAAACUGAUGAAAGAAUGAUCAUACCGAGGGAAUUCACUUAGAACUAACAAGAAUGAUAACGUGCUCCGACUGGAGCGGUUUAGGAACUGCUGGAAGGCUCUAGGGGAAUAAAGAAGGAACGACUUCUAAUUUUUAGGUCCGUAUGAUUUGAAAUAUGUGCACACAAACCACGAGAAAGCGUUCCUAGAAAUCUCGGCCCAAAAGAGGACGUUUAGUAUUCUAAAAGGGACUACAGAAUGAAAAACAAUAGUUUUGGCAGUUAAAGUUUGAGAUUUGACGGUGCCGUAGAUCUGUUUGGUCAUCAGGGGUUACGAGCCACACCCAUGUCUAGCUAGAAUAGUGUGUUAGGCUCAGGCUAGAAAAGAAACGGGGAACAAAGUGAUGAAAGAAUGAUCAUACCGAGGGAAUUCACUCAGAACUAACAAGAAUGAUAACAUGCUCCGACUGGAGCGGUUUAGGAACUGCUGGAAGGCUCUAGGGGAAUAAAGAUGGAAUGACUUCUAAUUUUUAGGUCCGUAUGAUUUGAAAUACUUGCACACAAACCGCGCGAAAGCGUUCCUGGAAAUCUCAGCCCAAAAAAGGACGUUUAGUAAUUCUAAAAGGGACUACAGGAUGAAAAACAAUAGUUUUGGCAGUUAAAGUAUGAGAUUCAACGGUGCCGUAGAUCCGUUUGGUCAUUAGGUGUUACGAGCCACACCCAUGUCUAGCUAGAAUAGUGUGCUAGGCUCAGGCUAGAGAAGAAACGGGGAACAAACUGAUGAAAGAAUGAUCAAACCGAGGGAAUUCACUCAGAACUAACAAUAAUGAUAACGUGCUCCGACUGGAGCGGUUUAGGAACUGCUGGAAGUCUCUAGGGGAAUAAAGAUGGAAUGACUUCUAAUUUUUACGUUCGUAUGAUUUGAAAAACUUGCCCAUAAACCGCGCGAAAGUGUUCCUGGAAAUCUCAGCCCAAAAAAGGACGUUUAGUAAUUUUAAAAGGGACUACACGAUGAAAAACAAUAGUUUUGGCAGGUAAAGUUUGAGAUUCGACAGUGCCGUAGAUCCGUUUGGUCAUCAGGUGUUACGAGCCACACCCAUGUCUAGCUAGAAUAGUAUGUUACGCUCAGGUUAGAGAAGAAACGGGGAACAAACUGAUGAAAGAUGAUCAUACCAAGGGAAUUCACUCAGAACUAACAAGAAUGAUAACGUGCUCCGACUGGAGCGGUUUAGGAACUGCUGGAAGGCUCUAGGGGAAUAAAGAUGGAAUGACUUCUAAUUUUUACGUCUGUAUGAUUUGAAAUACUUGCACACAAACAACGCAAAAGCAUUCCUGGAAAUCUCAUCCUAAAAAAGGACGUUUAGUAAUUCUAAAAGGGACUACAGGAUGAAAAAUAAUAGUUUGGGAAGUUAAAAUUUGAGAUUCGAUAGUGCCGUAGAUCCGUUUGGUCAUCAGGUGUUAGGAGCCACACCCAUGUCUAGCUAGAAUAGUGUGUUAGGCUCAGGCUAGAGAAGAAACAGGGAACAAACUGAUGAAAGAAUGAUCAUACCGAGGGAAUUCACUCAGAACUAGCAAGAAUGAUAACGUGCUCCGACUGGAGCAGUUUUGAAACUGCUGGAAGGCUCUAGGGGAAUAAUGAUGGAAUGACUUCUAAGUUUUUGGUCCGUAUGAUUUGAAAUACGUGCACACAAACCCAGAGAAAGUGUUCUUGGAAAUCUCGGCCGAAAAAAGGAUGUUUAAUAAUUCUAAAAGGGACUACAGGAUGAAAAACAAUAGUUUUGGCAGUUAAAGUUUGUGAUUCGAUGGUGCUGUAGAUCUGUUUGGUCAUCAGGUGUUAUGAGCCACACCCAUGUCUAGCUAGAACAGUGUGUUAGGCUCAGGCUAGAGCAGAAACGGGGAACAAACUUAUGAAAGAAUGAUCAUACCGAGGGAAUUCACUCAGAACUAACAAGAAUGAUAACGUGCUCCGACUGGAGAGGUUUAGGAACUGCUGGAAGGCUCUAGGGGAAUAAAGAUGGAAUGACUUCAAAUUUUUAGGUCUGUAUGAUCUGAAAUACUUGCACACAAACCGCGAGAAAGCGUUCCUGGAAAUCUCAGCCCAAAAAAGGACGUUUAGUGAUUCUAAAAGGGACUACGGGAUAAAAAACAAUAGUUUUGGCAGUUAAAGUUUGAGAUUCGAUAAUGCCGUAGAUCCGUUUGGUCAUCAGGUGUAACGAGCCACACCCAUGUCUAGCUAGAGUAGUGUGCUAGGCUCAUACUAGAGAAGAAAUGGGGAACAAACUGAUGAAAGAAUGAUCAUACCGAGGGAGUUCACUCAAAACUAACAUGAAUGAUAACGUGCUCCGACUGGAGCGGUUUAGGAACUGCUGGAAGGCUCUAGGGGAAUAAAGAUGGAAUGACUUCUAAUUUUUAGGUCCGUAUGAUUUGAAAUACAUGCACACAAACCCCAAGAAAGCGUUCCUGGAAAUCUCGCCCCGAAAAACGACGUUUAGUAAUUCUAAAAGGGACUAUAGGAUGAAAAACAAUAGUUUUGGCAGUUAAAGUUUGAGAUUUGACGGUGCCGUAGAUCUGUUUGGUCAUCAGGUGUUACGAGCCACACCCAUUUCUAGCUAGAAUAGUGUGUUAGGCUCAGGCUAGAAAAGAAACGGGGAACAAAGUGAUGAAAGAAUGAUCAUACCGAGGGAAUUCACUCAGAACUAACAAGAAUGAUAACAUGGUCCGACUGGAGCGGUUUAGGAACUGCUGGAAGGCUCUAGGGGAAUAAAGAUGGAAUGACUUCUAACUUUUAGGUCCGUAUGAUUUGAAUUACUUGCACACAAACCGCGCGAAAGCGUUCCUGGAAAUCUCAGCCCAAAAAAGGACGUUUAGUAAUUCUAAAAGGGACUACAGGAUGAAAAACAAUAGUUUUGGCAGUUAAAGUUUGAGAUUCGACGGUGCCGUAGAUCCGUUUGGUCAGCAGGUGUUACGAGCCACACCCAUGUCUAGCUAGAGUAGUGUGCUAGGUUCAGACUAGAGAAGAAAUGUUGGGGAACGUAGCAGAAAUUCAAAAUUUUCCUACGUGUCACCAAGAUCUAUCUAUGGAGAGACUAGCAACGAGGGAAGGAGAGUGCAUCUACAUACCCUUGUAGAUCGCUAAGCGGAAGCGUUCAAGUGAACGGGGUUGAUGGAGUCGUACUCGUCGUGAUUCAGCUCACCGAUGAUCCUAGUGCCGAACGGACGGCACCUCCGCGUUCAACACACGUACAGCUCGACGAUGUCUCCCACGCCUUGAUCCAGCAAGGAGAGAGGGAGAGGUUGAGGAAGACUCCAUCCAGCAGAAGCACAACGGCGUGGUGGUGAUGGAGGAGCAUGGCAAUCCUGCAGGGCUUCGCCAAGCACCUAUGGGAGAGGAGGAGGUGUCACGGGAGGGAGGGAGGCGCCAAGGGCUCAGGUAUAGAUGCCCUCCCUCCCCUCCACUAUAUAUAGGGGCAAGGGAGAGGGGGGAGGCGCAGCCUUGCCCCUUCCUCCAAGGAAGGGGUGCGGCUAAGAGGGGGGGAGGAGUCCAUCCUCCCCAAGGCACCUCGGAGGUGCCUUCCCCCUUUAGGACUCUCCCCUUUUUCCUAUAUCUUGGCGCAUGGGCCUCUAGGGGCUGGUUCCCUUGGCCCAUGUAGGCCCAGGCGCACCCCCUACAGCCCAUGUGGCCCCCCGGGGCAGGUGGCCCCACCUGGUGGGCCCCCGGGACCCUUCCGGUGGUCCCGGUACAAUACCGAUGACCCCGAAACUUGUCCCGAUGGCCGAAACAGGACUUCCUAUAUAUAAAUCUUUACCUCCGGACAAUUCCGGAACUCCUCGUGACGUCCGGGAUCUCAUCCGGGACUCCGAACAACAUUCGGUAACCACAUACAAACUUCCUUUAUAACCCUAGCGUCAUCGAACCUUAAGUGUGUAGACCCUACGGGUUCGGGAGACAUGUAGUCAUGACCGAGAUGUUCUCCGGUCAAUAACCAACAGCGGGAUCUGGAUACCCAUGUUGGCUCCCACAUGUUCCACGAUGAUCUCAUCGGAUGAACCACGAUGUCAAGGACUCAAUCAAUCCCGUAUACAAUUCCCUUUGUCUAGCGGUAUGGUACUUGCCCGAGAUUCGAUCGUCGGUAUACCGAUACCUUGUUCAAUCUCGUUACCGGCAAGUCUCUUUACUCAUUUCGUAACACAUCAUCCCGUGAUCAACCCCUUGGUCACAUUGUGCACAUUAUGAUGAUGUCCUACCGAGUGGGCCCAGAGAUACCUCUCCGUUUACACGGAGUGACAAAAUCCCAAUCUCGAUUCGUGCCAACCCAACAGACACUUUCAGAGAUACCCGUAGUGUACCUUUACAGCCACCCAGUUACGUUGUGACGUUUGGCACACCCAAAGCACUCCUACAGUAUCCGGGAGUUGCACAAUCUCAUGGUCUAAGGAAAUGAUACUUGACAUUAGAAAAGCUUUAGCAUACGAACUACAUGAUCUUGUGCUAGGCUUAGGAUUGGGUCUUGUCCAUCACAUCAUUCUCCUAAUGAUGUGAUCCCGUUAUCAACGACAUCCAAUGUCCAUGGUCAGGAAACCGUAACCAUCUAUUGAUUAACGAGCUAGUCAACUAGAGGCUUACUAGGGACAUGGUGUUGUCUAUGUAUCCACACAUGUAUCUAAGUUUCCUAUCAAUACAAUUCUAGCAUGGAUAAUAAACGAUUAUCAUGAACAAGGAAAUAUAAUAAUAAUCAAUUUAUUAUUGCCUCUAGGGCAUAUUUCCAACAGUCUCCCACUUGCACUAGAGUCAAUAAUCUAGUUCACAUCGAUAUGUGAUUAACACUCAAGGUCACAUUCCCAUGUGACUAACACCCAAGAGUUUACUAGAGUCAAUAAUCUAGUUCACAUUUACCAUGUGAUUAACACUUGAUGAGUUCUGGGUUUGAUCAUGUUAUGCUUGUGAGAGAGGUUAUAGUCAACGGGUCUGAACCUUUCAGAUCCGUGUGUGCUUUACAAAUCUCUAUGUCAUCUCCUAGAUGCAGCUACCACGUUCUAUUUGGAGCUAUUCCAAAUAACUGUUCUACUUGGAGCUAUUCUAAAUUGUUGCUCCAUUAUACGUAUCCGGUAUCUCUACUCAGAGCUAUCCGGAUAGGUGUUAAGCUUGCAUCGACGUAACCCUUUACGACGAACUCUUUUACCACCUCCAUAAUUGAGAAAAUUCCUUAGUCCACUAGUUACUAAGGAUAACUUUGACCGCUGUCCUGUGAUCCAUUCUUGGAUCACUCUUGUACCCCUUGACUGACUCAUGGUAAAGCACACUUCAGGUGCGGUACACAGCAUAGCAUACUGUAGAGCCUAUGUCUUAAGCAUAGGGGACGACCUUCGUUCCUUUCUCUCUAUUCUGCCAUGGUCGAGCUUUAAGUCUUAACUUCAUACCUUACAACUCAGGCAAGAACUCCUUCUUUGACUGAUCCAUCUUGAACACCUUCAAGAUCACGUCAAGGCAUGUGCUCACGUCAAGAUCACGUCGGUAUACCGAUACCUUGUUCAAUCUCGUUACCGGCAAGUCUCUUUACUCGUUCCGUAACACAUCAUCCCGUGAUCAACCCCUUGGUCACAUUGUGCACAUUAUGAUGAUGUCCUACCGAGUGGGCCCAGAGAUACCUCUCCGUUUACACGGAGUGACAAAAUCCCAAUCUCGAUUCGUGCCAACCCAACAGACACUUUCAGAGAUACCCGUAGUGUACCUUUAUAGCCACCCAGUUACGUUGUGACGUUUGGCACACCCAAAGCACUCCUACGGUAUCCGGGAGUUGCACAAUCUCAUGGUCUAAGGAAAUGAUACUUGACAUUAGAAAAGCUUUAGCAUACGAACUACAUGAUCUUGUGCUAGGCUUAGGAUUGGGUCUUGUCCAUCACAUCAUUCUCCUAAUGAUGUGAUCCCGUUAUCAACGACAUCCAAUGUCCAUGGUCAGGAAACCGUAACCAUCUAUUGAUUAACGAGCCAGUCAACUAGAGGCUUACUAGGGACAUGGUGUUGUCUAUGUAUCCACACAUGUAUCUGAGUUUCCUAUCAAUACAAUUCUAGCAUGGAUAAUAAACGAUUAUCAUGAACAAGGAAAUAUAAUAAUAAUCAAUUUAUUAUUGCCUCUAGGGCAUAUUUCCAACAGUCUCCCACUUGCACUAGAGUCAAUAAUCUAGUUCACAUCACCAUGUGAUUAACACUGACAGGUCACAUCACCAUGUGACCAACAUCCAAAGAGUCUUGGGUUUGAUCAUGUUGCUUGUGAGAGAGGUUAUAGUCAACGGGUCUGAACCUUUCAGAUCCGUGUGUGCUUUACAAAUCUCUAUGUCAUCUCCUAGAUGCAGCUACCACGUUCUAUUUGGAGCUAUUCCAAAUAACUGUUCUACUUGGAGCUAUUCUAAAUUGUUGCUCCAUUAUACGUAUCCGGUAUCUCUACUCAGAGCUAUCCGGAUAGGUGUUAAGCUUGCAUCGACGUAACCCUUUACGACGAACUCUUUUACCACCUCCAUAAUUGAGAAAAUUCCUUAGUCCACUAGUUACUAAGGAUAACUUUGACCGCUGUCCUGCGAUCCAUUCUUGGAUCACCCUUGUACCCCUUGACUGACUCAUGGUAAAGCACACUUCAGGUGCGGUACACAGCAUAGCAUACUGUAGAGCCUAUGUCUUAAGCAUAGGGGAUGACCUUCGUUCCUUUCUCUCUAUUCUGCCAUGGUCGAGCUUUAAGUCUUAACUUCAUACCUUACAACUCAGGCAAGAACUCCUUCUUUGACUGGUCCAUCUUGAACACCUUCAAGAUCAUGUCAAGGUAUGUGCUCAUUUGAAAGUACUAUUAAGCGUUUUGAUCUAUCCUUAUAGAUCUUGAUGCUCAAUGUUCAAGUAGCUUAAUCCAGGUUUUCCAUUGAAAACACUUUCCAAAUAACCCUAUAUGCUUUCCAGAAAUUCUACGUCAUUUCUGAUCAUUAAUAUGUCAACAACAUAUAAUCAUCAGAAAUUCUAUAGUGCUCCCACUCACUUCUUUGGAAAUACAAGUUUCUCAUAAACUUUGUAUACACCCAAAAUCUUUGAUCAUCAUCAAAGCAUACAUUCCAACUCCGAGAUGCUCACUCCAGUCCUCAGAAGGAUUGCUGGAGCUUUGCAUACUUAUUAGCAUAUUUCAGGAUAGACAAAACCUUCCAGUUGUAUCACAUACAACCUUUCCUCAAGAAUCGUCGACGAAACAAUGUUUUGACAUCCUAUCUGCAAGAUUUCAUAAAUAAUGCAGUAAUUGUUAAUAUAAUUCCAACAGACUCUUAGCAUCGCUACGAGUGAGAAAGUCUCAUUGUAGUCAACUCCUUGAACUUGUCAAAAAACAUCUUAACGACAAGUCGAGCUUUCUCAAUGGUGACACUUACCAUCAUUGUCUGUCUUCCUUUCAAAAUCCAUAUGUACCUAACAGCCUUACGACCAUCAAGUAGUUCUUCCAAAGUCUACACUUUGUUUUCAUACAUGGAUCCUCUCUCGGGUUUUAUGGCCAUGAGCCAUUUAUCGGAAUCCGGGCCCACCAUUGCUUCUCCAUAGCUCGUAGGUUCAUUGUUGUCUAGCAACAUGACUUCCAAGACAGGAUUACUGUACCACUCUGAAGUAGUACGUAUCCUUGUCACCCUACGAGGUUUGGGAGUGACUUGAUCUGAAGUUUCAUGAUCACUAUCAUAAGCUUCUACUUCAAUUGGUGUAGGUGCCACAGGAACAACUUCCUGUGCCCUGCUACACACUGGUUGAAGUGAUGGUUCAAUAACCUCAUCAAGUCUCCACCAUCCUCCCACUCAAUUCUUUCGAGAGAAACCUUUCCUCGAGAAAGGACCCAAUUCUAGAAACAAUUCAUAUUGCUUUCGGAUCUGAAUUAGGAAGUAUACCCAACUGUUUUGGGUGUCCUAUGAAGAUGUACUUUAUCCGCUUUGGUUUCGAGCUUAAUCCUGAAACUUUUUCACAUAAGUGUCGCAGCCCCAAACCUUUAAGAAACGACAACUUAGGUUUCUCUAAACCAUAAUUCAUACGGUGUCAUCUCAUCGGAAUUACGUGGUGCCCUAUUUAAAGUGAAUGUGGUUGUCUUUAAUGCCUAACCCAUAAACUAUCGUGGCAGUUCGAUAAGAGACAUCAUGGUAUGCAUCAUAUCCAAUAGGGUGCAACUAUGAUGUUCGGACACACCAUCACACUAUGGUGUUCCAGGCGGUAUUAAUUGUGAAACAAUUUCCACAAUGUCUUAAUUGUGUGCCAAAACUCGUAACUCAGAUACUCAUCUCUAUGAUCAUAUCAUAGACAUUUUAUCCUCUUGUCACAAUGAUCUUCUACUUCACUCUGAAAUUACUUGAACCAUUCAACAAUUCAGACUUGUGUUUCAUCAAGUAAAUAUUCUCAACAUCUACUCGAAUCAUCUGUGAAGUAAGAACAUAACGAUAUUCACUGCAUGCCUCAGCACUCAUUGGACUGCACACAUCAAAAUGUGUUACUUCCAACAAGUUGCUAUCUUGUUCCAUCUUACUGAAAACGAGGCUUUUCAGUCAUCUUGCCCAUGUGGUAUGAUUUGCAUGUCCCAAGUGAUUCAAAAAUCAAGUGAGUCAAAACGGUCCAUUUGCAUGGAGUUUCUUCAUGCAUAUACACCAAUAGACAUGGUUCGCAUGUCUCAAACUUUUCAAAAACGAGUGAGCCCAAAGAUCCAUCAAUAUGGAGCUUCUUCAUGCGUUUUAUACCGAUAUGACUUACGUGGUAGUGCCACAAGUAGGUGGUACUAUCAUUACUAUCUUUUGGCAUGAACAUGUGUAUCACUACGAUCGAGAUUUAAUAAACCAUUCAUUUUAGGUGUAAGACCAUUGAAGGUAUUAUUCAAAUAAACAGAGUAACCAUUAUUCUCCUUAAAUGAAUAACCGUAUUGCGAUAGACGUAAUCCAAUCAUGUCUAUGCUCAACGCAAACACCAAAUAACAAUUAUUUAGGUUUAACACCAAUCUCUUUGGUAGAGGGAGCGUGCGAUGCUUGAUCAUAUCAAGCAUGGAAAAACUUACAACACAUAUCGUCAGCUCACCUUUAGCUAGUCUCUGUUUAUUCCGUAGCCUUUUGUUUCGAGUUACUAACACUUAGCAACCGAACUGGUAUCUAAUACCCUGGUGCUACUAGGAGUACUAGCAAAGUACACAUUAACACAAUGUAUAUCCAAUAUACUUCUAUCGACCUUGCCAGCCUUCUUAUCUACCAAGUAUCUAGGGUAAUUCUGCUCUAGUAGUUGUUCCCCUUAUUACAGAAGCACUUAGUCUCGGGUUUGGGUUUUACCUUGGGUUUCUUCACUAGAGCAGCAGCUGAUUUGCCGUUUCAUGAAGUAUCCCUUCUUGCCCUUGCCCUUCUUGAAACUAGUGGUUCCACCAACCAUCAACAAUUGAUGCUCCUUCUUGAUUUCUACUUUCGCGGUGUCAAACAUCGCGAAUACCUCAAGGAUCAUCAUAUCUAUCCCUGAUAUGUUAUAGUUCAUCAUGAAGCUCUAACAGCUUGGUGGCAAUGACUUUGGAGAACCAUCACUAUCUCAUCUGGAAGAUCAACUCCCACUCGAUUCAAGCGAUUGUUGUACUCAGACAAUCUGAGCACAAGCUCAACGAUUGAGCUUUUCUCCCUUAGUUUGCAGGUUAAGAAAGUCAUCGGAGGUCUUAUACCUCUUGACAUGGGCACGAGCCUGAAAUCCCAAUUUCAGCCCUCAAAACAUCUCAUAUGUUUCGCGAUGUUUCAAAAACGUCUUUGGUGCCUCAACUCUAAACCGUUUAACUGAACUAUCACGUAGUUAUCAAAACGUGUAUGUCAGAUGUUCGCAACAACCACAGACAACGUUCGAGGUUCAGCACACUGAGCGGUGCAUUAAGGACAUAAGCCUUCUAUGAAGCAAUGAGGACAAUCCUCAGUUUACGGACCUAGUCCGCAUAAUUGCUACUAUCAACUUUCAACUAAUUUUUCUCUAGGAACAUAUCUAAACAGUAGAACUAUAGCGUGAGCUACGACAUAAUUUGCAAAAACCUUUUGACUAUGUUCAGGAUAAUUAAGUUCAUCUUAUGAACUCCCACUCAGAUAGACAUCCCUCUAGUCAUCUAAGUGAUUACAUGAUCCGAGUCAAACUAGGCCGUGUCCGAUCAUCACGUGAGACGGACUAGUCAUCAUCGGUGAACAUCUUCAUGUUGAUCGUAUCUUCUAUACGACUCAUGUUCGACCUUUCGGUCUUCGUGUUCCGAGGCCAUGUAUGUACAUGCUAGGCUCGUCAAGUUAACCCUAAGUGUUUCGCGUGUGUAAAUCUGUCUUACACCCGUUGUAUGUGAACGUUAGAAUCUAACACCCGAUCAUCACGUGGUGCUUCGAAACACGAACUGUCGCAACGGUGCACAGUUAGGGGAGAACACUUCUUGAAAUUGUUGUAAGGGAUCAUCUUAUUUACUACCGUCGUUCUAAGCAAAUAAGAUGUAUAAACAUGAUAAACAUCACAUGCAAUCAAAUAGUGACAUGAUAUGGCCAUCAUCACUUUGCUCCUUUUGAUCUCCAUCUUCGGGGCUCCAUGAUCAUCAUCGUCACCGGCAUGACACCAUGAUCUCCAUCAUCAUGAUCUCCAUCAUCGUGUCUUCAUGAAGUUGCCUCGCCAACUAUUACUUCUACUACUAUGGCUAACGGUUAGCAAUAAAGUAAAGUAAUUACAUGACGUUUAAGUUGACACGCAGGUCACAAAUGAAUAAAGACAACUCCUAUGGCUCCUGCCGGUUGUCAUACUCAUCGACAUGCAAGUCGUGAUUCCUAUUACAAGAACAUGAUCAAUCUCAUACAUCACAUAUAUCAUUCAUCACAUCCUUUUUGGCCAUAUCACAUCACAUAGCAUACCCUGCAAAAACAAGUUAGACGUCCUCUAAUUGUUGUUUGCAUGUUUUACGUGGCUGCUAUGGGUUUCUAGCAAGAACGUUUCUUACCUACGCAUGAACAACAACGUGAUAUGCCAAUUGCUAUUUACCCUUCAUAAGGACCCUUUUCAUCGAAUCCGAUCCGACUAAAGUGGGAGAGACAGACACCCGCCAGCCACCUUAUGCAACUAGUGCAUGUUUGUCGGUGGAACCGGUCUCACGUAAGCGUACGUGUAAGGUUGGUCCGGGCCGCUUCAUCCCACGAUGCCGCCGAAUCAAGAUAAGACUAGUAACGGCAAGCAUAUUGAACAAUAUCAACGCCCACAACUACUUUGUGUUCUACUCGUGCAAAGAAUCUACGCAAUAGACCUAGCUCAUGAUGCCACUGUUGGGGAACGUAGCAGAAAUUCAAAAUUUUCCUACGUGUCACCAAGAUCUAUCUAUGGAGAUACUAGCAACGAGGGAAGGAGAGUGCAUCUACAUACCCUUGUAGAUCGCUAAGCGGAAGCGUUCAAGUGAACGGGGUUGAUGGAGUCGUACUCGUCGUGAUUCAGAUCACCGAUGAUCCUAGUGCCGAACGGACGGCACCUCCGCGUUCAACACACGUACAGCUCGACGAUGUCUCCCACGCCUUGAUCCAGCAAGGAGAGAGGGAGAGGUUGAGGAAGACUCCAUCCAGCAGCAGCACAACGGCGUGGUGGUGAUGGAGGAGCGUGGCAAUCCUGCAGGGCUUCGCCAAGCACCUACGGGAGAGGAGGAGGUGUCACGGGAGGGAGGGAGGCGCCAAGGGCUCAGGUAUAGAUGCCCUCCCUCCCCUCCACUAUAUAUAGGGGCAAGGGAGAGGGGGAGGCGCAUCCUUGCCCCUUCCUCCAAGGAAGGGGUGCGGCUAAGAGGGGGGGAGGAGUCCAUCCUCCCCAAGGCACCUCGGAGGUGCCUUCCCCCUUUAGGACUCUCCCCUUUUUCCUAUAUCUUGGCGCAUGGGCCUCUAGGGGCUGGUGCCCUUGGCCCAUGUAGGCCAAGGCGCACCCCCCUACAGCCCAUGUGGCCCCCCGGGGCAGGUGGCCCCACCCGGUGGGCCCCCGGGACCCUUCCGGUGGUCCCGGUACAAUACCGAUGACCCCGAAACUUGUCCCGAUGGCCGAAACAGGACUUCCUAUAUAUAAAUCUUUACCUCCGGACCAUUCCGGAACUCCUCGUGACGUCCGGGAUCUCAUCCGGGACUCCGAACAACAUUCGGUAACCACAUACAAACUUCCUUUAUAACCCUAGCGUCAUCGAACCUUAAGUGUGUAGACCCUACGGGUUCGGGAGACAUGUAGUCAUGACCGAGAUGUUCUCCGGUCAAUAACCAACAGCGGGAUCUGGAUACCCAUGUUGGCUCGCACAUGUUCCACGAUGAUCUCAUCGGAUGAACCACGAUGUCAAGGACUCAAUCAAUCCCGUAUACAAUUCCCUUUGUCUAGCGGUAUGGUACUUGCCCGAGAUUCGAUCGUCGGUAUACCGAUACCUUGUUCAAUCUCGUUACCGGCAAGCCUCUUUACUCGUUCCGUAACACAUCAUCCCGUGAUCAACCCCUUGGUCACAUUGUGCACAUUAUGAUGAUGUCCUACCGAGUGGGCCCAGAGAUACCUCUCCGUUUACACGGAGUGACAAAAUCCCAAUCUCGAUUCGUGCCAACCCAACAGACACUUUCAGAGAUACCCGUAGUGUACCUUUAUAGCCACCCAGUUACGUUGUGACGUUUGGCACACCCAAAGCACUCCUACGGUAUCCGGGAGUUGCACAAUCUCAUGGUCUAAGGAAAUGAUACUUGACAUUAGAAAAGCUUUAGCAUACGAACUACAUGAUCUUGUGCUAGGCUUAGNNNNNNNNNNUGAUCAACCCCUUGGUCACAUUGUGCACAUUAUGAUGAUGUCCUACCGAGUGGGCCCAGAGAUACCUCUCCGUUUACACGGAGUGACAAAAUCCCAAUCUCGAUUCGUGCCAACCCAACAGACAUUUUCAGAGAUACCCGUAGUGUACCUUUAUAGCCACCCAGUUACGUUGUGACGUUUGGCACACCCAAAGCACUCCUACGGUAUCCGGGAGUUGCACAAUCUCAUGGUCUAAGGAAAUGAUACUUGACAUUAGAAAAGCUUUAGCAUACGAACUACAUGAUCUUGUGCUAGGCUUAGGAUUGGGUCUUGUCCAUCACAUCAUUCUCCUAAUGAUGUGAUCCCGUUAUCAACGACAUCCAAUGUCCAUGGUCAGGAAACCGUAACCAUCUAUUGAUUAACGAGCUAGUCAACUAGAGGCUUACUAGGGACAUGGUGUUGUCUAUGUAUCCACACAUGUAUCUGAGUUUCCUAUCAAUACAAUUCUAGCAUGGAUAAUAAACGAUUAUCAUGAACAAGGAAAUAUAAUAAUAAUCAAUUUAUUAUUGCCUCUAGGGCAUAUUUCCAACAAGAAACGGGGAACAAACUGAUGAAAGAAUGAUCAUACCGAGGGAAUUCACUCAGAACUAACAAGAAUGAUAACGUGCUUUGACUGGAGCGGUUUAAAAACUGCUGGAAGGCUCUAGGGGAAUAAAGAUGGAAUGCCUUCAAAUUUCUAGGUCCGUAUGAUUUGAAAUACUUGCACACAAACCGCGCGAAAGCGUUCCUGGAAAUCUCAGCCCAAAAAAGGACGUUUAGUAAUUCUAAAAGGGACUACAGAAUGAAAAACAAUAGUUUUGGCAGUUAAAGUUUGAGAUUCGAUGGUGCCGUAGAUCCGUUUGGUCAUCAGGUGUAACGAGCCACACCCAUGUCUAGCUAGAGUAGUGUGCUAGGCUCAGGCUAGAGAAGAAACGGGGAACAAACUGAUGAAAGAAUGAUCAUACCGAGGGAAUUCACUCAGAACUAACAAGAAUGAUAACGUGCUCCGACUGGAGCGGUUUAGGAACUGCUGGAAGGCUCUAGGGGAAGAAAGAAGGAAUGACUUCUAAUUUUUAGGUCCGUAUGAUUUGAAAUACGUGCACACAAACCGCGCGAAAGCGUUCCUGGAAAUCUCAGCCCAAAAAAGGACGUUUAGUAUUCUAAAAGGGACUACAGAAUGAAAAACAAUAGUUUUGGCAGUUAAAGUUUGAGAUUCGACGGUGCCGUAGAUCCGUUUGGUCAUCAGGUGUUACGAGCCACACCCAUGUCUAGCUAGAAUAGUGUGCNNNNNNNNNNNNNNNNNNNNNNNNNCGUAUGAUUUGAAAUACGUGCACACAAACCGCGCGAAAGCGUUCCUGGAAAUCUCAGCCCAAAAAAGGACGUUUAGUAUUCUAAAAGGGACUACAGAAUGAAAAACAAUAGUUUUGGCAGUUAAAGUUUGAGAUUCGACGGUGCUGUAGAUCCGUUUGGUCAUCAGGUGUUACGAGCCACACCCAUGUCUAGCUAGAAUAGUGUGCUAGGCUCAGGCUAGAGAAGAAAAGGGGAACAAACUAAUGAAAGAAUGAUCAAUACGAGGGAAUUCACUCAGAACUAACAAUAAUGAUAACGUGCUCCGACUGGAGCGGUUUAGGAACUGCUGGAAGGCUCUAGGCGAAUAAAGAUGGAAUGACUUCUAAUUUUUACGUCCGUAUGAUUUGAAAUACUUGCACACAAACCACGCAAAAGCGUUCCUGGAAAUCUCGGCCUAAAAAGGACGUUUAGUAAUUCUAAAAGGGACUACAGGAUGAAAAAUAAUAGUUUGGGCAGUUAAAAUUUGAGAUUCGACGGUGCCGUAGAUCCGUUUGGUCAUCAGGUGUUACGAGCCACACCCAUGUCUAGCUAGAAUAGUGUGUUAGGCUCAGGCUAGAGAAGAAACGAGGAACAA
rnacentral:lncRNA from 1 species